rnacentral:misc_RNA from 1 species
GAUGAAGAACGCAGCGAAAUGCGAUACGUAAUGUGAAUUGCAGAAUUCAGUGAAUCAUCGAAUCUUUGAACGCACAUUGCGCCCCUUGGUAUUCCAUGGGGCAUGCCUGUUCGAGCGUCAUUUACACCCUCAAGCUCUGCUUGGUGUUGGGCGUCUGUCCCGCUGCUUUGCGCGGACUCGCCUCAAAGGUAUUGGCAGCGAUCAUGCCAGCUUCUCGCGCAGCACAUUGCGCUUCUUGAAGUUCUGGUGGAUCAGCGUCCAUUAAGCUUACCUUCAUGACUUGACCUCGGAUCAGGUAGGGAUACCCGCUGAACUUAAGCAUAUCAAUAAGCGGAGGA